rnacentral:tRNA from 1 species
GUCAAGUUAGUUUACUAUAAAACGUCAGCCUGUGGAUUUGAAAAUGAAAAUUAUUCUUCACUUGACC